rnacentral:rRNA from 1 species
AACAAACGCUGGCGGCGUGCCUAAUACAUGCAAGUCGAACGGGGAAAGCUUUCGGGUGAGUACUAGUGGCGCACGGGUGAGUAACGCGUGGAUAAUCUGCCUUAGAGUGGGGGAUAACUAGUCGAAAGAUUAGCUAAUACCGCAUAAGACCACAAGAACUGCGGUUCAAGGGGACAAAGGUUUUUCGCUCUAAGAUGAGUCCGCGUAAGAUUAGCUAGUUGGUAGGGUAACGACCUACCAAGGAGACGAUCUUUAACUGGUCUGAGAGGAUGAUGAGUCACACUGGAACUGAGACACGGUCCAGACUCCUACGGGAGGCAGCAGUAGGGAAUAUUGCACAAUGGAGGAAACUCUGAUGCAGCGACGCCGCGUGAGUGAUGAAGGCCUUCGGGUCGUAAAGCUCUGUCGCAGGGGAAUAACACAAUGAAGGUACCCUGUAAGAAAGGAUCGGCUAACUUCGUGCCAGCCGCCGCCGUAACAC